GAUGAACGCUAGCGGCAGGCUUAAUACAUGCAAGUCGAGGGGCAGCAGUUUUGUAGCAAUACAGAAGCUGGCGACCGGCAAACGGGUGCGGAACACGUACGCAACCUUCCUUUAACUGGGAGAUAGCCCACCGAAAGGGGGAUUAAUAUCCCAUAGUAUAUUUGAGUGGCAUCACUUGGAUAUUAAAGCUCCGUCGGGUAAAGAUGGGCGUGCGUCGGAUUAGGUAGUGGGCGGGGUAACGGCCCACCAAGCCCACGAUCAGUAGCUGAUGUGAGAGCAUGAUCAGCCACACGGGCACUGAGACACGGGCCCGACUCCUACGGGAGGCAGCAGUAAGGAAUAUUGGUCAAUGGACGCAAGUCUGAACCAGCCAUGCCGCGUGGAGGAUGAAGGUCCUCUGGAUUGUAAACUUCUUUUCUUUGGGACGAAACCCCUGUUUCUACGGGGACUGACGGUACCAGAGGAAUAAGCACCGGCUAACUCCGUGCCAGCCGCCGCAGUAAUAC
rnacentral:rRNA from 1 species